rnacentral:rRNA from 1 species
CCUACGGGAGGCAGCAGUGGGGAAUAUUGGACAAUGGGCGCAAGCCUGAUCCAGCCAUACCGCGUGGGUGAAGAAGGCCUUCGGGUUGUAAAGCCCUUUUGUUGGGAAAGAAAUCCAGCCGGCUAAUACCUGGUUGGGAUGAACGUACCCAAAGAAUAAGCACC